GGGGGCUGCGGGCAGGGCGGGGUGUGCUGGUGUAAAGGAACUUGUGCUGAACGAGGCUCUUCAGAGGGAGGUGCUCUGGCUCUGGGUGUUUCCCACGUGACUGGUUAGGAUUUAGGUGUCUCAACCCCUCAGGAUUUUUUUCUACUCCUUGAGGGGCUGCUGAGGGGAACGGGACCUUGUGUAGGCCUUAGCAUCAAAUUCUUCUGCUGGGCUACUCUUUAGAAAAUUGAAAAGACUUGCUUCAGAGUUUGGGCAGUGUUUUCAUGACUGGGCAACUAGAGUUUUUAAUAAUUUAGGAAGUAAAAACACCGAGGUUCCCGUUGUGGGACGAUGCCAGUACUAGAGGCACGUAAGCACCGCAGAGUUGAGGCACCUGCGGUAGCAAAUGCAGGUAGGGGCAGCAAACUCAAGGCACCUGUGGCACCAGGUCCACCUAAGAAGAACAGCAGAACCACGGUGCUGGCAGCCACUAAAGUGUUGAAUCCUCAAGAUUUUGUGUGCAUUCAGGCUUUGCCUGGCUUUUCUCAGAAGGAAGGAAAGGUCAUGGCCAGAAGCAGAACAAUUUACAAAAGCAGUGAACUUCCAAGAGAACAAGUGUUCUGGGAAAGCUACUAUAGGAGGCAAAAGCAGUUCACUCAGGGACACUUCACCCCCCUUGGGAAGCCUUAUCAGGAGCUUGGAGAGGUUCUCUACACAGACCCGAAGAAACUCACCCUCUACUCUUUGGGGCAGCUUGCACAGGAACCAGUGAAAAAAGAAGGACAAGAAAAAACACCCAAAGAAGCGGCUGAGGUAACUACUGACGAGGACUCUUUCAAUGCAGAGUUUGAUCACUUUCAGUCUGAUCCUCUGGAACCAGUGAAGAGGCUCUCCCCAUUUAAAGAAACAGAAAAGGAGCUGAGGACUCUUAGUAAAGCUCUAGCUCACUCAAGGCAUCACGUCAAUUCUGUGAAGCAAGGUGGAGAGUACUUUCAUAUACUUCAUCAGGAGUCACUGGAGAGGAAGAACACACUGAAAGCAGCCCAGCAGGCUCAGGGCACAAGAUGGAGGUCUGAGUUCCAGCCACCCAAAUACUCCUCUGCUGAAGAGGAGUCAGAAGAAGAAAUAAACACGUAAGUUAACUCAGAGGGCUUUUGGUGGUCUGAGGGCAGUGGUUUUA
rnacentral:lncRNA from 1 species